GCACAAGCGGUGGAGCAUGUGGUUCAAUUCGACGCAACGCGAAGAACCUUACCCAGGCUUGAACUGCAUUGGACAUCCGGCGAAAGCCGGCUCCCGCAAGGGCCGAUGUCGAGGUGCUGCAUGGCUGUCGUCAGCUCGUGUCGUGAGAUGUUGGGUUAAGUCCCGCAACGAGCGCAACCCUUGUCCGCUGUUGCCAUCAGGUAAUGCUGGGCACUCUGCGGAGACUGCCGGUGAUAAACCGGAGGAAGGUGGGGAUGACGUCAAGUCAGCAUGGCCUUUAUGUCUGGGGCUACACACGUGCUACAAUGGCCGGUACAAACCGUCGCGAUACCGCAAGGUGGAGCUAAUCGGAGAAAGCCGGUCUCAGUUCGGAUUGCAGGCUGCAACUCGCCUGCAUGAAGUUGGAAUCGCUAGUAAUCGCGGAUCAGCACGCCGCGGUGAAUACGUUCCCGGGC
rnacentral:rRNA from 1 species